UACGGAGGGUGCAAGCGUUAUCCGGAUUCACUGGGUUUAAAGGGUGCGUAGGAGGAUAGGUAAGUCAGUGGUGAAAUCUCCGGGCUUAACUCGGAAACUGCCGUUGAUACUAUCUAUCUUGAAUCCCGUGGAGGUGAGCGGAAUAUGUCAUGUAGCGGUGAAAUGCUUAGAUAUGACAUAGAACACCAAUUGCGAAGGCAGCUCACUACGCGAAGAUUGACUCUGAGGCACGAAAGCGUGGGGAUCAAACAGG
rnacentral:rRNA from 1 species